rnacentral:rRNA from 1 species
CCUACGGGAGGCAGCAGUGGGGAAUAUUGCACAAUGGGGGCAACCCUGAUGCAGCGACGCCGCGUGAGUGAAGAAGUAUUUCGGUAUGUAAAGCUCUAUCAGCAGGGAAGCAAAUGACGGUACCUGAUUAAGAAGCCCCGGCUAACUACGUGCCAGCAGCCGCGGUAAUACGUAGGGGGCAAGCGUUAUCCGGAUUUACUUGGGGGAAAGGGAGCGUAGACGGCAGCACAAGUCUGGAGGGAAAUGCCGGGGCUUAACCCCGGAACUGCUUUGGAAACUGUGCAGCUAGAGUGCAGGAGAGGUAAGUGGAAUUCCUAGUGUAGCGGUGAAAUGCGUAGAUAUUAGGAGGAACACCAGUGGCGAAGGCGGCUUACUGGACUGUAACUGACGUUGAGGCUCGAAAGCGUGGGGAGCAAACAGGAUUAGAUACCCCAGUAGUC